GAUGAACGCUAGCGGCAGGCCUAAUACAUGCAAGUCGAGGGGUAGUGGAAGCUUGCUUCCAUGAGACCGGCGCACGGGUGCGUAACGCGUAUGCAACCUACCUCUAUCUGGGGGAUAGCCCGGAGAAAUCCGGAUUAACACCGCAUAAAAUCACAGUACGGCAUCGUACAAUGAUCAAAUAUUUAUAGGAUAGGGAUGGGCAUGCGUGUCAUUAGUUAGUUGGCGGGGUAACGGCCCACCAAGACCACGAUGACUAGGGGAUCUGAGAGGAUGGCCCCCCACACUGGUACGUGAGACACGGACCAGACUCCUACGGGAGGCAGCAGUAAGGAAUAUUGGUCAAUAGGAGGCAACUACUGAACCAGCCAUGCCGCCGUGCAGGAAGACGG
rnacentral:rRNA from 1 species